GGUCAUUCCUUGCCUAUUCAACUGGUAUAAUCUGUAUACUCAUUUUUCAUAAAUUUGAGACUUUUGAGUCUUAAUGUGCUGCAGGUUGACCUAACAGAAUAUUUGGAGAAACAUGAAUUUGUAUUUGAUGCUGUACUAAACGAAGAAGUGUCAAAUGAUGAGGUAUAUCAUGAAACUGUAGAGCCUAUCAUUCCCAUAAUUUUCCAACGUACGAAAGCUACUUGCUUUGCUUAUGGGCAAACAGGAAGUGGCAAAACAUAUACAAUGAAGCCACUGCCCCUUAGAGCAGUGAGAGACAUCUUGAGGCUCAUUCAUCAUACCUACAGGAACCAAGGCUUUCAGUUGUUUGUCAGCUUCUUUGAGAUAUAUGGGGGGAAACUCUUCGAUCUGCUCAGUGAUAGGAAGUAAGCUGUUUUCUGGGUUUUUUGUUGGCUUUCACCCUCCAGUGCAAUCUCAACUAGUUCUUGAGGACUUGGUGCUAGAACACAUAAUAUGAUAGAUUUUUGUUUUAGCUAUAAGAUAGUUGGUACUUUCAAUUUUGAAUCGAAAUAUGCAAUGAUCAUAUGUACUUGAUACUUGGUUCAUUUGGAUGGUAAUGUAUGAAUAUUUUGGAUGAUAUAUAAUAUUGUUA